rnacentral:lncRNA from 1 species
AGAUAGGGAUUACAGCAUCUGUGGAGGUGAGAGAGGCGGAGGAGUAUUCAUUGCCGUAAAAAGCGCUCUUCACGCAGAACUUCUAACACUGGAUAACAGUAACCUAGAGCAAGUAUUUGUUAGGAUCAAGGGUAGCAGCCUAAACAUCAUCAUUGGAUGUGUAUAUAUGCCACCAAACUCAUCGUACGAGUCCUACCAGGACCAUGUAGCAACGCUGUCCUACCUAAGUGAUAAAUUUACUCUUACAACUACUGAUCAUCGCGAUUCAGUCAUUACAGUAGACAGAGCCUUGCCUUUUACCAUUGAGGAUGCUUACCACCCGCCGCUCAGCAUCGAACUUAAUUUCCAACCCUGCCUCAAGCCUGCUAAUCAACCAUCCUUUGCAUUUAAAAGGCUGACUACGUCAAUCUUAAUGCAUUUUUCUUAAAUACUAACUGGAUUAAACUCUACGAAAUAGAGUCUAUUGAUGCAAAAGUUGACUGGUUUUAUAACAAAGUCUACGAGGCAAUUCUACAGUUUGUUCCAGUUUAUUUUAAUAGGUCAAGAAAUUUUCCUUGUUGGUUUAGCAAAGAACUAAUUAACAUGAUUAGGCUAAAAAAAAUAGCCCACUCUGAAUACAAAAGAGAUAAAACCAAGCAAAACUAUCGGCGUUUCAGCAUUUUAAGACUUGAGUGCAAAGAGCUCAGUAGGAUUUGUUACAAAAAUUAUGUCAACAAAGUGGAGAACCUAGUACUAUCCGAUACUAAUGAAUUUUGAAAAUUUAUGAAGAAUAAGAGACGUAGCAAUACUGAGAUACCUUCUUCAGUAUCAUGGAAUGAUAUUACAGCGGAGUCAGGUAUGGAAAUUAGCAAUUUAUUCGCUAUGUAUUUUGAAAAUACUUAUACAACUGGAAACACAGACACUGAUAAUAGUAAUAAUAAAAAUAAAAAUAAUAAUAAUUGUCAAAACAAUCCGAGUGUUCACAAUGUCAAUGUCAAUCUGCAUGAUUUCCAAGCCGAUUUUAACUAAGUAUACAAGCUAGGGAUGGUAAACUCGAUUUCGAUUCUACUCAAGAUUCGAGUUUUUUCGUAAAAUAAUCGAUUUUUAGGAAUCGACCUUUAAUUUCUAAAGUCGAUUAAGAAUCGAUUCUUGACAUUCGAUUUUACUGUUAAAUGACUAGUUUUAAGUUUGACAUACCAUUACAACAAACCUUGUGAUUAAAAGUCAUACAAAUAUAAAUUUGUUAACUGUUUGAUAUUUAUUUAUACUAAAUAUUAUUUCUUUUCAAUAUCGCGUUCCAGAUGCCAUAAGGGAGUAUACCGGUAAAAGGUCCUGAUAAAAAGCCAUAAGGGCGUAUAAAAAAAUUUUUCGGGAAUCGACGUAGUUUCGUCCGAAACGUGCAGAAAUACUAAAAAAAAAUUUUAUACGGGCGUAUAAUAAAAAUUCUAUUAUUUUUUCUAAGUCCAAAAAAAAUUUUUAGUUCGAAGAAAAUUUUUUUUUUGUAUUUCUCGACGUUUAAUACAAAAGUACGUCGGUUCCCAAAAAAAAAAUUUUUUUUACGCCCUUAUAGCAUCCGAGGUGAGUCCCGGGAGCCAUAAGGGCGUAUAAAAAAAUUUUUCUUUCGGGAAAACUUAUUUUUACCUGAAACGUCAAGAAAUACAAUUUUUCUUCGAACUAAAAAUUUUUUUUGGACUUAAAAAAAAACAGAAUUUUCAUUACACGCCCUUAUGAUUCCCGGAUGCCAUAAGGGCGUAUAAUUUUUAUACGCCCUUAUGGCAUCUGUAACGCGAUAUAUUCAUUAAAGUAGCGUCUAGCACCGUGUUGAUUUAUAUUAAAGAAGUUCCAUUUAUGGCAUCGUGAUUUGAUAAAUAAAUUUAUUAACUAUAAAAAUUAUUGAUCUUUUAAUUCAGAAUCGAUUAAAAUCGAAAGAAUCGAUUCUUGCGCUCGACUAAUCGAUUCUUAGAAUCGAAAAAUAUAAAAUUGAAAUCAGAAUCGAAAAUCGAUCCUUUAAAAAAUAUUUCCAUCCCUAAUACAAGCUUCUGCGGUCUCUGGAUCAUAAAAAAGGAUCUGGCCCUGAUAAGUUACCAAACGUGUUCCUGAAAAAUUGCGCAGUAGGCCUUUGCGAGCCGCUUACGCACUUAUUCAGCAAGUCACUACUUGAAGGUGUAUUUCCUACUGCCUGGAAAACCUCAUACGUCACUCCUAUUCAUUAACAUGGUCAAAGGUCCGAUGUCUCUAACUAUAGACCGGUUUGCAUUCAAUCGGCGCUGGCAAAACUCUUCGAAAAGGUGGUGUUAGUUCAAUUGACUACCUCCUUCAAGGAUGUCAUAACCCCAAAGCAGCAUGGAUUCACAGGUGGAAGGUCUACUACUACUAACUUGUUCACAUAUGUUGAUUAUAUACUCGAUGCAUUGAAUGAUGGGACCCAGAUACACGCAAUAUACACGGACUUCAGCAAAGCCUUUGACAAGGUCAGCCACGAAAUACUGGUAAAAAAAUUAAGCAACUAUAAAGUCUCUGGCAAUGCACUAAGCUGGCUACAAUCUUACCUCUCUGAUAGACGAUUGCAAGUUAGAAUAGAUGGUCACAUAUCUAACGAAUACUACAUCACUUCAGGAGUUCCCCAGGGAUCUCAUCUUGGCCCUAUCUUAUUCAAUAUAUUCGUAAACGACAUAGAUUCAAGAUUUCAAUCGGAGUACUUACUGUAUGCUGAUGAUCUCAAGAUCUACAGGGUAAUAAAUAGUGUGCUAGAUUCUCAUAUACUUCAAAAUGACAUCGAUGAACUUUUUACUUGGUGCCAAAGAAACAAGCUAUAUAUACCUGAAUAUCAAAAAAUGUGCCGUGAUGUCGUUUUCGCGCUCUCCAACGAAGGACUCCACAAACUAUUAUUUAAGCAAUGAAGUUAUUCAUGAAGUUUAUGAUAUCAAGGACCUUGGCAUCAUUAUAGACAACAAAUUGACUUUUGCAUCGCAUGUAGACAAAAUAACUUGCCAGGCCUACAAAAUGCUUGGACUGGUGACGAGAACCAGUAAGGAGUUUAGUAAUGCACAAUCACGAAUCUGUCUCUUCGCAGCCUUAAUUCUGCCCAUUUUAGAAUAUGGAACAGUUGUAUGGUCUCCAUUUACAAAUACCCUAAUCAAUAGAGUCGAAAGGGUUCAACAUAAAUUCUGUAAAUCCUUAUUAUUCUCCAAUCCUAGGAUGAGUGAUGGAUCUACUACAGAAGACGCACGAAGAGUAUAUGGAAUUAAUAGACUUAUUGAUAGAAGGAAGGCUGCAGAUUUGAUCUUUUUUUAUAAAAUCUUCAAUGAUCCUCAUCGACGCACCGGACAUAUACAGUUCCUUUGAGUUUGUCUCCAACGAACGGAAGCUCAGGCACAACCGACUAUUGAUAACCACCAAGUCUAGUCGAAACUAUGUAAUAAAUGGACCAAGAAAUAGAAUCUCCAACCUGGUGAACUCCCUACAUGAUUCCGUGAACUUUUUUGGUGGCUCCUUCCAGGCUUUCCGCUCUAAUAUUAAGAGACAUAUAUUACAAUACUAUGAAUAACGCUGUAAAAGUGGUUUUCUUUUUGAAAUGUUUUUGUUUUUUUAACUUUCGAAUUCUUUUCUUUUUUUUCUUUCUUUUUUAAGUUUCUGCAGGCAUCGCCAAAUGAAGCGUUAUAUGUAUAAUUUUCGAACCAAAAUUCUCAGAUUCAAUAAUUUAUAAUUAAUA